CCAAUAGCGUAUAUUAAAGUUGUUGCAGUUAAAAAGCUCGUAGUUGAAUUUCGGAAUCUGUCCAUCGGUCGGGCUUCACUGUCCGUACUGGUGUGGUGGGUUCUUACCUUCUGAAUAACCAGCAUGCCAUUCACUUGGUGCGCUGGGGAAGCAGGACUAUUACCUUGAAAAAAUUAGAGUGCUCAAAGUAGGCUAGUGCCUGAAUAUAUUAGCAUGGAAUAAUAAAAUAGGACGGCAUGGUUCUAUUUUGUUGGUUUCUAGGAUCACCGUAAUGAUUAAUAGGGAUAGUUGGGGGCAUUAGUAUUCAAUUGUCAGAGGUGAAAUUCUUGGAUUUAUUGAAGACUAACUUCUGCGAAAGCAUUUGCCAAGGAUGUUUUCAUUAAUCAAGAACGAAAGUUAGGGGAUCGAAGACGAUCAGAUACCGUCGUAGUCUUAACCAUAAACUAUGCCGACUAGGGAUCGGACGAUGUUAAUUUUUUAAUGACUCGUUCGGCGACUUACG
rnacentral:rRNA from 1 species